CAGUCGCCGCGGUAAAACGUAGGGUGCAAGCGUUAAUCGGAAUUACUGGGCGUAAAGCGUGCGCAGGCGGUUAUAUAAGACAGAUGUGAAAUCCCCGGGCUCAACCUGGGAACUGCAUUUGUGACUGUAUAGCUAGAGUACGGCAGAGGGGGAUGGAAUUCCGCGUGUAGCAGUGAAAUGCGUAGAUAUGCGGAGGAACACCGAUGGCGAAGGCAAUCCCCUGGGCCUGUACUGACGCUCAUGCACGAAAGCGUGGGGAGCAAACAGGAUUAGAUACCCCAGUAGUCCCUGUCUCUUAUAA
rnacentral:rRNA from 1 species